CGGCAAUCUGAGAAUAAGAAGCCUGUUUGUCUGUUUUUGUUUCUUUCCAGGUGAUGACGGCACAUGGCUUGCGACACCUCUCUGGGCCUGGUGAAGCAGGAGAGAAGGGACAGAAGGGGGAAAAAGGAGAACAGGGAGAAAGAGGCAUUCAAGGACCGCAAGGCCUAAAGGGGGUAAAGGGAAGUGUUGGACUACCAGGUCUAAAGGGCGAGCCAGGCUCAGAGGUACGUGCCAUCUGACUCCAUAUUAAUGUUAAGAUAUACUGUAUUAAAGCC
rnacentral:lncRNA from 1 species